rnacentral:rRNA from 1 species
AGGACGAACGCUGGCGGCGUGCUUAACACAUGCAAGUGGAGCGACGAACCACUUGCCCUGGGGCAGAGCCGCGAACGGGUGAGUAACACGUGGGUUACCUGCCUCGAUGACCGGGACAACCCGAGGAAACUCGGGCUAAUACCGGAUGUGCCCGCAAGGGGAAAGGAAGCUUCGGCCUCCGCAUCGAGAUGGGCCCGCGGCCCAUUAGCUUGUUGGUGAGGUAACGGCUUACCAAGGCUUCGAUGGGUAGCUGGUCUGAGAGGACGAUCAGCCACACUGGGACUGAGACACGGCCCAGACUCCUACGGGAGGCAGCAGUGGGGAAUCUUGCGCAAUGCGCGAAAGCGUGACGCAGCAACGCCGCGUGGGGGAAGAAGGCUUUCGGGUUGUAAACCCCUUUCAGUUGGGACGAAGCUUCGACGGUGAAUAGCCGGCCGGAGUGACGGUACCUUCACAAGAAGCACCGGCUAACUACGUGCCAGCAGCCGC